rnacentral:snRNA from 1 species
GGGUGUGAGGAUGAUCUAGCUGCAGUGUUUAUCCCACUGAUUGCCAGGGUUGAUUUGGUUGCUCUGGCUGGCUAGGCCAGUCCCCUUACCCUCUCACUGCACCGUAGACAUUAGUAGAACAAUGGGGGUUGUCAAACUUCCAAACAUCCAAAUGAAGUGCUGUGUGUGGCAGUCUGCCUUUCUAA